AUACAGAGGGUGCGAGCGUUAAUCGGAAUUACUGGGCGUAAAGGGUGCGUAGGUGGUUUAUUAAGUUGACUGUGAAAGCCCCGGGCUUAACCUGGGAGGGUCAGUUGAUACUGGUAGACUAGAGUACAGUAGAGGGUAGUGGAAUUUCCAGUGUAGCGGUGAAAUGCGUAGAUAUUGGAAGGAACACCAGUGGCGAAGGCGGCUACCUGGACUGAUACUGACACUGAGGCACGAAAGCGUGGGGAGCAAACAGGAUUAGAAACCCCAGUAGUCC
rnacentral:rRNA from 1 species